CCUACGGGGGGCAGCAGUGGGGAAUAUUGCACAAUGGGGGAAACCCUGAUGCAGCGACGCCGCGUGAGGGAAGAAGUUUCUCGGUUUGUAAAGCUCUUUCAGCAGGGAAGAAAAUGACGGUACCUGACUAAUAAGCCCCGGCUAACUACGUGCCAGCAGCCGCGGUAAUACGUAGGGGGCAAGCGUUAUCCGGAUUUACUGGGUGUAAAGGGUGCGUAGACGGCGCUGAAAGUCCGGGGUGAAAGCCCAUGGCUUAACAAUGGUACUGCUCUGGAAACUGUGGAGCUUGAGUGCGGGAGGGGCAGGCGGAAUUCCGGGUGUAGCGGAGAAAUGGGUAGAUAUAAGGAGGA
rnacentral:rRNA from 1 species